rnacentral:tRNA from 1 species
AAGGGAGACCUAAUUCGGGUAGAAGACGAAAAAAUAGUAGUCGAAACCAAGAAUCAAUCCCAAAAGGUCGGAACGAGGUAUGUGGCUUUCAAACUAGGUUCUGGGUUCACAAAAGACCCGAAUCAGGAACAAGGGCUAUUAGCUCAGGUGGUUAGAGCGCACCCCUGAUAAGGGUGAGGUCCCUGGUUCGAGUCCAGGAUGGCCCACCUGCACAGGUGGCAAAAACAAGAGAAACGAGGAAUCAGCACCUUAUCUUACUUACAUAGUAAGAGAGAAUGCUGGCUCUGAGUAAAGAGUCCAGAGGAACCCUGAAAACUGCAUAGAGCUAGGUGAAAAAGCCAAAAAAGAAGACCGCAA